CUUUUGUCUGAAUCUUUUUCUGAGCCCAGCGUAAGAAUUAGCAACAUAAUAUCAUGUCAUUUGUUGUUAGGCCACACAAUGGAGCAGAUUUGUAAAAUAGUCAGUGUGUGUGUAUUGAAAACAUGUAGUACGUGAUUAUUGAUGAUGGUGAUAUGGAUAAAGGCAUAGAUGUUAAAAGACUGGGGAAAAAAUGAUGUGACACUAUUGUUACUAUCCCCUUUAAUCUUUCCGGCAUUUUAUUGUUAAAUAGUAUAAAUAGGCAAUGGAGGAGUUUCAUUCAGUUGUAAAUGGAAGCAAUUGCUGGUGAGUCGUAAACUUUU
rnacentral:lncRNA from 1 species